CUUUUACAGGGGGAUAGCCCAGAGAAAUUUGGAUUAAUACCUCAUAGCAUAUGGUCUUGGCAUCAGGACCAUAUUAAAGAUUUAUCGGUAAAAGAUGAGCAUGCGUUCUAUUAGCUGGAUGGUAAGGUAACGGCUUACCAUGGCGACGAUAGAUAGGGGCCCUGAGAGGGGGAUCCCCCACACUGGUACUGAGACACGGACCAGACUCCUACGGGAGGCAGCAGUGAGGAAUAUUGGACAAUGGGCGGGAGCCUGAUCCAGCCAUGCCGCGUGCAGGAAGACUGCCCUAUGGGUUGUAAACUGCUUUUGUACAGGAAGAAACACUCCCUCGUGAGGGAGCUUGACGGUACUGUAAGAAUAAGGAUCGGCUAACUCCGUGCCAGCAGCCGCGGUAAUACGGAGGAUCCAAGCGUUAUCCGGAAUCAUUGGGUUUAAAGGGUCCGUAGGUGGAUGAUUAAGUCAGAGGUGAAAUCCUGCAGCUCAACUGUAGAAUUGCCUUUGAUACUGGUUGUCUUGAAUUAUUGUGAAGUAGUUAGAAUAUGUGGUGUAGCGGUGAAAUGCAUAGAUAUCACAUAGAAUACCGAUUGCGAAGGCAGAUUACUAACAAUACAUUGACACUGAUGGACGAAAGCGUGGGGAGCGAACAGGAUUAGAUACCCUGGUAGUCCACGCCGUAAACGAUGGAUACUAGCUGUUCGGAUUUAUCUGAGU
rnacentral:rRNA from 1 species